CCCAAUCCAAUCCUGUCUUCUGCGUCCAUCCACAUUCGCCCACACGAUAUCAACCCUGAAGCGGAGGGCGGUGGCCUCGGUAACGGGAACGCCAGGCUCGACAAUGGAGCUUCAGUCCACCUGCAAUCCAGGGUCCGACGGCUGAUGCAACCCAAAGCAAGAAGGCAGGCUCUGCUUCGCCACCUGACAACACACGGUUCCCCGCACAGAGCACACGUGGUGGCUGACUUCCCACCGCUUACAGAGGGCAUUCACACGCCAUUGAUGGGAAGCUGUGUGCAGGCCUCCCCGUCUGCUUUCAGUUCUUCAUUUCACGGAUAGUGAGGUUAAUGAAGGCAUAUGAUUAUGCCUCAUGCUAUGACACAUCGUUGUCGUUGCGACAUUGCAGAGCCGAGAGUUCCCUUUGAAGGGAAUCACGUAGUGUUGACAAUUCUUACAUAAUUACAUUUCUGACAGUGCUGUACUUUCCACUAGAAUGUGGUCUGGCGAUCAACCUAAUUUAUUUUUCUGCAUUUGCCUGGAAUAGAGCAAAUAAUACAUGUAUAUGACUACCCUCGCAAAACAAUGCUUUAAACUAAUAAUACUUUACGUUGCUAUUGUUAUUAUUAUGACAAUGCAUAUUUUAAUAUUUACUACUAUUAUUACUUGCACUUGUUAUUGUUGGAUCUUGUUAUUGUUGGAAAAUGCAAGACACAACUGAGUUAUAUGUUUGUCGGCAUAAAGGUCAGGACAUUAGAACCUAAUCGAAUCAGCCGAGAAAAAAAAAAAAAGAGACAGAGAGACAGAGAGACAGAGAGACAGAGAGAGAGAGAGAGAGAGAGAGAGACAGAGACAGAGACAGAGACAGAGAGAGAGAGAGAGAGAGAGAGAGACUAGGAAGACCCGGGAGACAAAGAGAAAGGGGCCUGGUUUGUAUUUUGUUGUUGCUGUUUGGAAGCACUCACAUCUGAACAAUGUCAGACGGCUAUUAUUAACUCUCUGCACUAUGCAGUCGUCCUUUUCCUCUUCAGGAUAUUAUCGAUCCUCAGUCUCUUUCCCUACGUGAGGCUGGGCGUCUCAUGCGGUCCAUGCCCUGAGAUCGUAACACAAUAACACAUGUGGAUCUUCUCAGAAAAAGCACCGCGCUUUUUAGGCCUUGCAGGGAAAGGGGGUCGGGGAGGGAGGUGUUGCUGUAGCGAUGCAUGCCUCUAUCAUGAAAGCAAGUCGAUGUUGGACACCAGUAGGAGUAUGUGGAGAACGGGGCUGGAGGAGGAGGGGCCGCCCGCUGAUGGUGGCGGUGGUCUCCCAGCUGGAGACACACGUGUGCUCUCCAGCUAUGCUCCGGAAAACACCCGCAUUAUGUAACAGGACCGCCUCGCACACAUACAGAUGGUGGAGGGAUGGACGGAUAGACGGACAGACUUGUGCAUCAGGAUUUACAAUGAAUUCACCCAUAAGAAUUCACCCAUUCACACAGCGAGGGGGAUCUCUGUAAUUGUUCAACUCAUCCUGCUUUAAUAGAAGAGAACUCCACAACGAACACUAACACCGUGGAGCAACAGUGUAACAGUACAACUGUGGUUGUCCCUCUCUCCCCCCCCUCCCCGAACAUCACAUCUGGACCCCUGCAAUGCACGCUGUGUUACCCUGCGAGCCUUGAGGACGGGAGACAAAGGCUGGUGGGCCAAAGGGCACCAGUCCAAAGUGUACACAAAGAAUUUGAACAGCUGCUUGGGACAGGAAAUAGGAAGAAAUGUGAGAAUGCAGUACACUGCAAACCAUGUGUCUAACAGUACGGCUAGCAAGGCAUAUCUACUGCCAUGUCUGGGAUAGUGUGUUACACAUCUUCAAAUUCAACUUUAGAAUCUACGCAUAAAUUAAACCCCAGGUUCUUGACUUCCUGUACAUGUGUCUGUCUGUCUGUCUGUCUGUCUGUCUGUCUGUCUGUCUGUCUGUCUGUCUGUCUGUCUGUCUGUCUGUCUGUCUGUCUGUCUGUCAGAGAUGUGUUGCAUUUCAUCAUACUCUUAUCAUUGGAUGAAGAUCGAGAUCAAGUUAAAAAAGCAAAUUCUUCUAUGACAAACGACAAAAGAAGAAGUCAGAAACUAUUCAUUUUGAUUUGGCUUGACCACAACUGUUCGGUCAGUGGGUUUGAGAACUCAAAGAAAAGCCUAUCCGCCAGACACAGGGGUGCUACCGUUGGGGGGGCUAUUUAUAUAAAAUGAGUGGAGUUACCAUUCACAACCCCUAAUUCGUUUUGGUUUUCUAGCAAAGAACCGUGUCACAUGCACGGUCCAGACAUGGUCCUAUCUUUAGACAUCCUGUGUGCUCUCACCCAGCAGGAGAGAGGCAUUGGUAACCCAGUCCAUAGAGAAGGGGUGUGUGUGUGUGUGUGUGUGUGUGUGUGUGUGUGUGUGUGUGUGUGUGUGUGUGUGUGUGUGUGUGUGUGUGUGUGUCUAGCAAUUAAAAUUAGAGUUGUGAAUCCAUCUCAAUUACAAUGGCCCAGUUCGUCACGACGAGACUGGGACCAGCGCAGAGCCACACCGACCGGGUCGUUUACCAAGUAGUCCACAGGGCGCGUGUUAGC
ensembl:lncRNA